AAUCCAUAGGUUAAUGAGGCGAACCGGGGGAACUGAAACAUCUAAGUACCCCGAGGAAAAGAAAUCAACCGAGAUUCCCCCAGUAGCGGCGAGCGAACGGGGAGGAGCCCAGAGCCUGAAUCAGCAUGUGUGUUAGUGGAAGCGUCUGGAAAGGCGCGCGAUACAGGGUGACAGCCCCGUACACAAAAGCGCAUGUGCUGUGAGCUCGAUGAGUAGGGCGGGACACGUGGUAUCCUGUCUGAAUAUGGGGGGACCAUCCUCCAAGGCUAAAUACUCCUGACUGACCGAUAGUGAACCAGUACCGUGAGGGAAAGGCGAAAAGAACCCCGGCGAGGGGAGUGAAAAAGAACCUGAAACCGUGUACGUACAAGCAGUGGGAGCACAGGUUUACCUGUGUGACUGCGUACCUUUUGUAUAAUGGGUCAGCGACUUAUAUUCUGUAGCAAGGUUAACCGAAUAGGGGAGCCGGAGGGAAACCGAGUCUUAAUUGGGCGUUAAGUUGCAGGGUAUAGACCCGAAACCCGGUGAUCUAGCCAUGGGCAGGUUGAAGGUUGGGUAACACUAACUGGAGGACCGAACCGACUAAUGUUGAAAAAUUAGCGGAUGACCUGUGGCUGGGGGUGAAAGGCCAAUCAAACCGGGAGAUAGCUGGUUCUCCCCGAAAGCUAUUUAGGUAGCGCCUCGUGAAUUCAUCUCCGGGGGUAGAGCACUGUUUCGGCUAGGGGGCCAUCCCGGCUUACCAACCCGAUGCAAACUGCGAAUACCGGAGAAUGUUAUCACGGGAGACACACGGCGGGUGCUAACGUCCGUCGUGAAGAGGGAAACAACCCAGACCGCCAGCUAAGGUCCCAAAGUCAUGGUUAAGUGGGAAACGAUGUGGGAAGGCCCAGACAGCCAGGAUGUUGGCUUAGAAGCAGCCAUCAUUUAAAGAAAGCGUAAUAGCUCACUGGUCGAGUCGGCCUGCGCGGAAGAUG
rnacentral:rRNA from 1 species